rnacentral:rRNA from 1 species
UACGUAGGGACCGAGCGUUGUCCGGAUUUACUGGGCGUAAAGAGCGCGCAGGCGGCUGGUCAAGUCCGAUGUGAAAUCUCCCGGCUCAACUGGGAAACUGCAUCGGAAACUGAUCGGCUUGAAGAUGGGAGAGGGUAGUGGAAUUCCCGGUGUAGUGGUGAAAUGCGUAGAUAUCGGGAGGAACACCAGUGGCGAAGGCGACUACCUGGCCCAUUCUUGACGCUGAGGCGCGAAAGCUAGGGGAGCGAACGGG